GGUGGGAGCUUUGCGGGGGAGGCGGGGGGCGCCCGCGGCGCAGCAAUCUCAGCCCCGCCGAGCCACUGCCCUUUUAUGGAAAUGAAGGACCGGGCGUAGGGAUUGAAUCCAACAUCCGGGCUCUCGGCGGCGGGACCUGAGGAGGGGGAGCGAGGGGAAGGCGGGCGGCCUCCCGCGGGGGAGCUGCGUUCUGUGCUCGGGUCUCCGACUUUGCGGGAGCGCUCGGCGUGUAUUCAGAUGUGAAAUCUUAUCUGAAAUCCUCCACUAGAACCUUGAAGACAAUGCAAUACUUGUGGUACUGACAUCAUGCUGAAAAGUAGCCGAGAACUCCAGUGUUUGGAAGAACAGCCCGAGCACUGAAAGCAGCAAUAUCCAAAUAAGGCCACAGAAGCCGGCCCUCUGGCAGGAACACAAAUGUGAUGGCAUGAAACACCCGGUAAAGCUUGCUGGAUCCUCUCCAUUCUGCCUCCUCUUGGCCCAAGCUGUGCAGACGGCAGAGCCGGAUUAGCACCGCCAUGAUGUCGCACUGACUCAGGAGAAUGAAGAUCGCCAAACCACAGAAAGGGAAUAUCCAGUACAAACUUCG